CUUUGAGCAAGGACGAGCUCUCAAACAUGUCUGUUGUCGAUUAUGCCAAAGUAAGGUACAGAGCUGCUCAACAAAACUCACCGGGUCAGCAAAGACUCGAGGAACAGAAAUCGGUUGUUAACGUGGGUACAACGUACAAUGCUACGGAACAAUUGGUAUCGAGCGCUAGGUCAAAGUUCGAACCAGAAUUACGUAAGGAUAAUAAUAAAGAAGGGAACGUUAAGGAUGACAGAGAUCCUAUAACAUCUAGAUGGGGUCCUAGAAUAAAUUCACCAAGGCCACGAUUGGAACAAGUGCCACAUCCUGAACUGACGACGCAACAGAAACAACACAUAAGAGCUGCCGCAGCUACGGGUACUGGAAAUAAUCCGGUUAGACCAUUUCUCACUAGAGGAUCGGUCGCUGAACGUGUAUUGAUCUUCGAGAAAUGUCCUAGCGAGUUAUUGCUUGAUAAACGAGGUCCUCGACCAGCUGGUAUCGCAACGUGGAGAACUGGGCAUGAGGUUCAGAGCAAGGUUCAGAGUUACGUAAAGGAAAAGACCCAGCAAAAAAGUUUACCACCACACACUACUUUACAGAGGCACGUGAAGGCGAACAGAAAUGUUCACAUACCUAGGUUCUACUUCCCUGGCGGCAAACCCACACCUCUUUCUCAACUCGAGGCUACCAUUUCGAGAAUUACUACGGCGUUUCAAAGUUUGCCAGGUCAUCGAGCCUCUCGUGCACAAUUUCACUUGAUCACGAAGGCCUGUGAUCUACCCCUUUAUUGGAAGGUACCACUUUUUCUUGCCGCUAACAAAGAUCAGACCGAACACGUAGAGAUGAACACUUUCCUUGAAUUUUGGAAGGAAUUAACGAGUACUCAUCAUGAUGCAGCUAGCAAGUUCAUUAGAAUCACGACGCGUGGUUUAAGAAACAACAUAUUACCUGAAGAUUUGAUACCAUUGGUUCAGGAUGUUGUUGAAACACAUCCAGGAUUAACAUUUUUAAAGGAAGCUAAGGAAUUUCAUUCACGUUAUGUUCACACGGUAAUCGCGAGGAUAUUUUAUUGCGUCAAUCGUAGCUGGAGCGGAAAAAUUUCGGUAGCUGAAUUACGAAGAAGUAAUCUUCUAGCAGUAAUAGCUGUUCUUGAACAUGAAGAAGAUAUUAAUCAGGUUACCGCUUACUUCAGUUACGAACAUUUCUAUGUGAUUUAUUGUAAGUUCUGGGAAUUGGAUCGCGAUCAUGAUCUUUUUAUCGAUAAAAUGGAUCUAACGAGACACAACGAUAACGCAUUAUCUACGCGAAUGAUCGAGCGGAUAUUUAGCGGGGCAGUUACGAGAGGUGGUGUAAAAAGUGGGGGUGUGAUUCAACAACCAGAAGAUAAGAUGAGUUACACGGAAUUUGUAUGGUUUCUUUUAAGCGAAGAGGAUAAAAAUCAUCCAACAGCUAUCGAGUAUUGGUUUAGAUGUAUGGAUCUUGACGGGGAUGGUUAUCUGUCCAUGUUUGAAUUGGAAUAUUUUUAUGAGGAACAGUUGCAUCGUAUGGAAGGUAUUGGACUCGAAACUUUACCUUUCGAAGAUUGCCUCUGUCAGAUGUUAGAUAUGAUUCAUCCAGCAACACCCGGAAAAAUCUCAUUAAGCGAUCUAAAGAAAUGUAAAAUGACAUCGAUCUUUUUUGAUACUUUCUUCAAUCUAGAAAAAUAUCUCGAUCAUGAACAGAGAGAUCCAUUUGCUUCGGCACGAGAUGGUCAUGAGAUGUCCGACUGGGAUCGAUUUGCGGCAGAAGAAUAUGAAUUAUUGGUUGCCGAAGAAAGUGGUAAUGACCAAAAGGAGCAAACAUCAUAUGAUUCGACGUCAGAAGAUACAUUUUCGCCAAAUCUCGAUGUCCUAGUUGGCGAGCCAGUGGAUGUUGUUUCUCAGGGUACAGAUAUUUUGUCAAAAACUCAUAAUGACAAUCUGUCGUCACCAGUCGUUCGUGACCAGUCUAGAAAUCAACAUUAUGACAGUGGUGAUAGUGAUGAUUACGCCGAUAGCGAUAAUUAGAUUGAUUCUAUCUGAAUCUUUAUGCACCAAGAUGGGGAGGGUGGAAGGGGGAUGGUUGUGUGCAUUUGUAAUUUGUUUUUUCUUUUUAUUUUAUUUUUCUUUCUCUCUCUCUCUCUCUUUUUUUUCUUUUUUUUUUUUUUUUUUGUUAUAUUUACAAUGAACAAACUGAGAAACAGCAAUAGAAACUUAAAUGAGAGAAGGACAGACACAACCUGAAACCUUGUUUACAAGAUGAAUACCAGAAAAUGAAAUGUUAGCCAAAAAUAAUAACUUUAGUAUGACAUUACGCCGUAUACGCGAUGGUAAUUGAUGUAAUAGAGAUGUGUCAUCUUAAACACACAAACGAUCGCAGUAUUAAUGAUCAUGAAAUAAUUCUCAGUGUGUCUGUGGAUUAUUUUGAUCGUAUCGUGUAGUGAGAGUGCAAGUUCAUAAGUUGAGAAAAUUACCGAGUCAUGUAUCAAUUCGGUGGGUGUAAUUAAAUAGAUGACGCUCAUUCCAAUGUGCAAUAAAAAAAAAUAAAAAAAAAAAUAAAUAAAUAAAUAAAAAAUAAAAAAAAUAAAUAAAUCAUAUUAGAAAACUUCGUCGAUUUACACGAUAUAAAUAAUUAUUUAAUUUACAUAAGACAUAUUUAAGCUGAAUUACCCUUAAUCACAAAUUUUAUAUCGAGUGCUAGUAAUUUAUAUCACAUGCUAAUAAUAUUCAUUCAUUGUAUAUAGACACAUAAUUUCUCGUUGUGUCCCCCAUAACACCGAAUUGAUUCACAACUUCAAAAAUAUUAAAUUUGGUCGUUGCUUGGCCAUGUGAUACAUAUUAUUGUUCAACGUGCAGAACAUACUUUGUGUACUUCAGGUUGUAAAUAGACGCAAAAAAAAUUAUUGAUUUUAAUUUUUUACUUAUCAUGGAGAGACAAUUUUAAAUGUGCAGAAUUUUUCCAAUUGCUGCAGUCUAUAUACUAUUUUACAGAUUUAUUGUUUUGAAUAGUGCUUAAUUUGCUAGUACUAUUAUAUUUGAUUAUUUCAUUUAAUUCUUUUCAUCGCUUUUUGUAAAGUAUUUAUCGAACUUUCUAUAUAGUUAAUAUAAACAAAUAUAUAAAUGGUGAUGAUUAAUUAAUUGGAUAAACAUUUAUAUUUGAAUUAGUAUAUUGAUUAUCUUUUGGGGACUGCAUUAAUCGGAAAUGAUUUACAAGAAAAAAAUAUCGUUGUCAUCAAAUGAUAUUGGCAACUCUCUCUUUUGCCAUUUAUUAUCUUAUGAAACAUUGAAAACCCUUCGUAACAAUUAAUAUUUAUAUAUCCUGAUUAUAUAAAUAUUUAUAAAUGGUAUCUCUCCUUUUAUAUCGAUGCUAAUCUAAUUUUAUUAGUACGAUAUAAUGUUUCAGCGUUCAAGAGGAGGAAGGAAUUAUUUUCCUAUCAAUUUUAACAUUUUCUUCUAUAUAUUCCAAAAUUAUAUAUUAUCAUAUCACACAAAAGUGUUAUUUAUAAAAUAACAUCCUUAUAAAAAAAAAAAUAUAAUGUAUUUUAGAGUUUAAACACAAAGAAGAUGAUAAAUUAUGAUAGGAAUAAAUAUGUGACACGAAUAAGUAGCAAGAUGUUCGUGAAUUAAUCGAAUGUUUUUACUUAUAAUAAAGAUCAUAUCUAUAACAAGAGAUAUCAGAACGGAUUUCACAGAAAAGAAAAAAUAUAGUCAUUCGUAAUAAUCACUUCUUCAAAUAUUCGAAAAAACAUGCUUAAAAGAAUUUAACAAUUUAUUUCUAACAUUAUUUAACCAUUAUUUAAUUUAUAAGUGAAGACGAAACUCAUUACCUUCCUCCACAAAUAGCGUCAUGAAAUGCAAUAGACAAGAGUGCAUUUGUUGCAGCAAAAUAUAUUUGUUAAUAUUUUCUUUUAAGUUUCUUGUUUUUUUUUCUUUUCUUUUUUUUUUUUUUGUUCUUUCUUUUUCUCAUGGAAUUCUUUAACGAAAAUCUCUUAUCUGCUUUAUAAAAUCGAAGAUCAUCAUAUAGAGUUUAUGCUACCCUGUUGCAUUGAACAAAUGACUUUAUCUGUAACUUUUUGAAUCUUUUUCUACUCAUUCGUAUAUAUAUCUACUUUUUAUGAGAGCGAAUUGUUUUCCUAUGAAACAUAUCAUAUUUAUUAAAUCGUGAAGGUUUAAAUUCACACUCUAUUGUAUUACGUAUAAUAAAUAGAUGUUUAUUUGUGAAAUGCUCAAAUAGGGUAGUAUUUUUACUUCAUAUUUUUAUCUUUUACAUACAAACACGGAAACAUACACGCGCGCACGCAAGCGGAUGCCGUGUUGUUCAAGAAAAAAUUACUAUAUCUCAUAGUAUUGCUGCAAGAAGAUGAAUAAGCCAAAGAUGUGACACGUUUCGCUUAACUUGAACAUUAAAAAUGGAAAGUUAUUUUCUCAUAAGUAUUUCGUACACGUAAAGUAGAACAUUGUAAGUACGAAUCAUACAUUGAUGUCAUUUUCUUCCUGCUCAAUGAUCAUUUAAUUCUAGGUGAAAGACAGAAAGACACACCUACAGAUCUAUAAUGAAAAUGUCUUCUGAAAAAAAAAAAGAAAAAAAAAAAAAGAAAGAAAAAAGAAAUAAAUAAAUAAAUAAAAAAUAAAGAUCGACAAAAACUGGAUGUAAGCUAUAUUUUUAGUAACAAUUAAAAGAGAAAAAGGAGUUGAAAAUCUCAAAGUUUCAAAUAUAAAACUUCCGUGAAAGUCAUUGCGUCAAAAGUAUUUUUAGUACAGUUUUUAAAUAUAAAGUAUUUUGCCAUAGGAGACCAAGGUAUUCCAUAGUUUGCGUUACAAAGACUGCAGGAUUGUACAUAUUACUUUUGUCUCCAAGUAUACUUUAAUUAAUUGCGUAAAAUGUUACUCUAGUCCACGUGUGUGCUGCAACUUAUAUACCUUUGUGGCACAUGUCAAUAUAAUAAUCUUAAGGUGUAUUAUAUUAUUUGUUUUAAACCAAACGGAGCUAAAUUAUGCAAAAUGAAUUGUAUGUAAAGUUCUGUAUUGUUAAUAGAAUUUUAUGUAGGAUAUGUAAGGGCAGUACUUCAAUACCAAUAGUUGAUAGAUAUGACUUUUAUUGUUCUUGUUAAUUAUGUACCUGUUACUCUGUUAUUCUCUAUUUACAUGAGUUAAUUAUAUCCAAAUUUAUUUACAUCAUUACUAUAUUGUAUAGUUUUAUCAACUACUGGCAUGAUACUGUUCGUUAUAAUUCUAUUUUACAUGGCUCUCAAAUAAGGUAUAAGAAAAUUCUAGUGAUUUCUUUUUCUUUUCUUUUUUAUUCACGUUGUAAGAAUGCUUUAUAUAUUUUACGAACUUAUUUUACAAAGGUCAGCACCUUACGUAGAAUUUAUUUGAUCUAUUUGGUGCUUCCCUGUUACGCAGAAAUACCAUCUGCAAAGGGAGUUGCUUUUGUUGACUAUCCAAAGAUAUAACUAUAUCAAGUUUGUUUAAUUACAUCUUUUAUAAGUCGUUAUGGUUUUUACUAUAUAUAUAUAUAUAGUAUUAUCUACGCAUACUUCUCUAUAUGUCACCCUUUUAACAUCAUGUUCAAAUUAAGUUACUGUUGAGAAAAAAGAGUCAUUGAAAAAAAAAAAAAACGUCAUAAAUUAUAUAUAUGUUUACAUUUGACAAUACUCUUUAUUGUUAUAUUCAUUCAUUAUUCUAAUGGUAGGUUUAUUCUAUGUUCUAAUAUGAAAUAUUUACACCGUGCUACGGAUUUAUGUUUCCAUGCUAAUGCGCUGCAGAUGAUAGUCAAUUUAUCCCUUCGUUACUCGCAUCAGGCAUAUAUAUAUAUAUAUAUAUAUAUGCAGGUAUACAUAUAAUGCAGAUUUUCAUAUUUAUAACUUUUUAUCGAUUGAAAUUACGUAUCUACCCUUUCAAUAUCUCACAGUAACAUUCCACGUGUCUUUUAAGCUCUAGUUAGAAAAUAAUUAACACAACACUUGGGUCAAUAAAACGUUACUGCAAAAAAAAAUGUAAUAAUCAGAUGUACUGCUAUAAUUUGAUAAAUAUUUAUAAAAGCUUUAUAAAAUUAUUAAAAA